rnacentral:rRNA from 1 species
UGCCAGCAGCCGCGGUAAUACGGAGGGUGCAAACGUUGCUCGGAAUCAUUGGGCGUAAAGCGCACGUAGGCGGUCCGUUAAGUCGGAAGUGAAAGCCCUCGGCUCAACCGAGGAAGUGCUUUCGAAACUGGCGGACUUGAAUACUGGAGAGGAUCGCGGAAUUCCCGGUGUAGAGGUGAAAUUCGUAGAUAUCGGGAGGAACACCAGUGGCGAAGGCGGCGAUCUGGACAGAUAUUGACGCUGAGGUGCGAAAGCGUGGGGAGCAAACAGGAUUAGAUA